rnacentral:rRNA from 1 species
UGGGGAAUAUUGGACAAUGGGCGCAAGCCUGAUCCAGCCAUGCCGCGUGAGUGAAGAAGGCCCUCGGGUUGUAAAGCUCUUUUGUCCGGAAAGAAAAGCUUUCGGUUAAUACCCGGAAGUACUUACGGUACCGGAAGAAUAAGCACCGGCUAACUUCGUGCCAGCAGCCGCGGUAAUACGAAGGGUGCAAGCGUUACUCGGAAUUACUGGGCGUAAAGCGUGCGUAGGUGGUUUGUUAAGUCUGAUGUGAAAGCCCUGGGCUAAACCUGGGAAUUGCAUUGGAUACUGGCAGGCUAGAGUGCGGUAGAGGAUGGCGGAAUUCCCGGUGUAGCAGUGAAAUGCGUAGAGAUCGGGAGGAACAUCUGUGGCGAAGGCGGCCAUCUGGACCAGCACUGACACUGAGGCACGAAAGCGUGGGGAGCAAG